rnacentral:rRNA from 1 species
UACGUAGGGUGCAAGCGUUAAUCGGAAUUACUGGGCGUAAAGCGUACGCAGGCGGCUAUGUAAGACAGAUGUGAAAUCCCCGGGCUCAACCUGGGAACUGCAUUUGUGACUGCAUGGCUAGAGUACGGUAGAGGGGGAUGGAAUUCCGCGUGUAGCAGUGAAAUGCGUAGAUAUGCGGAGGAACACCGAUGGCGAAGGCAAUCCCCUGGACCUGUACUGACGCUCAUGCACGAAAGCGUGGGGAGCAAACAGG